ensembl:lncRNA
AUGUCUGACUGCAUGCACCCCCCGACUGUGCAUGGGACCCCUGCUGGGCCUGCUAGAAACCAUUUCCCCAGGAGCUGGGAACUGACGAGGCUGAGAAGAGUGACUGAGAGAGAAGAGUUUAUCCAUUCUGGAGAAAGGGGCUCUGUGCCCCACUUCCUCACCAGAGUCCUGAGCGGACAGCAAGACCCAGGAGCAAUGGAGGACUGAAGAGCAGGGAAAAUGUAUGCCUCUUUCCCACACAGAGCUGAGGAAAGUGACCGAUCUCCUCUAGGGUGUGCUGCCUGGUGCCGCACAGCAAUGGCGAACUCAACAUGCUGGCCAUGCCCUUAGGAGUCACAGGGGAGCAUCAGAAGAGCCGGAUGAAAAUGCACAAAUGGGCACAGGGUCCCCUAGCAGCAGCAUCCUGUGUGUCUCCAUGACUGACAAUCUUUGAGACAUGGGAGUAAUCAUUUCCUCUGUGGACAGAUGAAUUCACUUCUAGGUGUCUCCCCCUGCUUCCCCAUCUCCUAUACACAAGACGAUGCACGCACUCACAUCCUGGGUACUACACAAACCUUGGAACUUGGACAUGAAGGGAAACGUCUGAGAGAAACCAGAGUUAACUGAGAUGAGUUUCCCACCACUUCACUGCCUGGGGUUUUAAUUGUUAGAGAAACAUAAAGACAAUGAUAAUUUUAAAGAGUAUUUAUUAUCCAUCAACUGAUAAAUGGACUAACAAAAUGUGGCAUAUUCAUAUUUAAUGAUAAUUGUUUUAAAGAUUUAUUUUUUAAGAGCAGUUUUAGGUUCACAGCAAAAUUCAGCAGAAGCUUCAGAGAUUUUUCACAUAAUCCUCCCCCCACACAUUCUGAGCUUCUUCCCACACUGACCUCCCCGACCAGAAUGUAUACGUACUGAAACAUCACAUAUCUAUUUACCACGUGAAUUUGUACAGGUAUUAUUUAUUAAUUAAAAAUGAAUUUAAAAAACAAAACAAAAAAGAAAAGAAAUUGCUGAACCUACAUUGACACAUGAUUGUCAUCAAAAAGUCCAUAGUUUAUAUGAGGGGUCACUCUUGGUGCUAUGCAUUGUGUAGGUUUAGGCAAAUGUGUAACGACAUGGGUCCACCAUUAUAGUCAUCCAGGGUCGUUUCACUGCCCUAAAAAUCCUCAGCACUCCACUGAUUCAACCCUCCCUCCUCCCAACCCCUGGCAACCACUGCUCUUUUUACUGUCUCCAUAGUUUUGCCUUUUCCAGAGUGUCAUGCAGUUGGAAUUAUACAGUAUGUAGACUCUUCAGACUGGCUUCUUUCACUUAGUAAUGUACACUGUAAUUUCUUUCAUGUCUUUUUGUGAAUUGAUAGAUCACUCUUUUUAGCACUGCAUAAUAUUCCACUGUCUGCAUAUACCACAGUUUAUUUAUUCACCUACUGAGGGAUGUCUUGUUGGUUUCCUAGUUUUGGCAAUUAUUAAUAAAGCUGUUAUAAACAUCUGCAUGCAAGUUUUUGUGUAGACAAGUUUUCAACUCUUUUGGGUAAAUUCCAAGGAGCACAAUGGUUGGAUCCUAUAAGAGUAUGUUUAACUUUUUAAGAAACUGCCAAAGUGUUUCACAAAGUGGUUGUAUUAUUUUGCCUUCCCACAUCCCAGCAAGGACUUGGUGCUCUCGGUAUUCUAGAUUUUAGCCAUUCUAAUAAGUACGUAUUGGUAUCUUAUUGCUAUUUUAAUUUGCAUUUCUAAGAUCACAUAUGAUGUGGAGCAUCUUUCCAUAUGCUUAUUUGCCA